GAUGAACGCUGGCGGCGUGCCUAAUACAUGCAAGUCGAGCGAACAGACGAGGAGCUUGCUCCUCUGACGUUAGCGGCGGACGGGUGAGUAACACGUGGAUAACCUACCUAUAAGACUGGGAUAACUUCGGGAAACCGGAGCUAAUACCGGAUAAUAUAUUGAACCGCAUGGUUCAAUAGUGAAAGACGGUUUUGCUUUCACUUAUAGAUGGAUCCGCGCCGCAUUAGCUAGUUGGUAAGGUAACGGCUUACCAAGGCAACGAUGCGUAGCCGACCUGAGAGGGUGAUCGGCCACACUGGAACUGAGACACGGUCCAGACUCCUACGGGAGGCAGCAGUAGGGAAUCUUCCGCAAAGGGCGAAAGCUUGACGGAGCAACGCCGCGUGAGUGAUGAAGGUCUUCGGAUCGUAAAACUCUGUUAUUAGGGAAGAACAAAUGUGUAAGUAACUAUGCACGUCUUGACGGUACCUAAUCAGAAAGCCACGGCUAACUACGUG
rnacentral:rRNA from 1 species